rnacentral:rRNA from 1 species
UACAGAGGUCUCAAGCGUUGUUCGGAUUCAUUGGGCGUAAAGGGUGCGUAGGCGGCGCGGUAAGUCGGGUGUGAAAUCUCGGAGCUUAACUCCGAAACUGCAUUCGAUACUGCCGUGCUUGAGGACUGGAGAGGAGACUGGAAUUUACGGUGUAGCAGUGAAAUGCGUAGAUAUCGUAAGGAAGACCAGUGGCGAAGGCGGGUCUCUGGACAGUUCCUGACGCUGAGGAGCGAAAGCGUGGGGAGCGAACAGG